rnacentral:rRNA from 1 species
CGGUGGUAAUGGCGUAAAGGUAACACUCCUUCCCAUACCGAACAGGUAAGUUAAGCUUUACAGCGCUGAUGGUACUGCAGGGGAAACCCUGUGGGAGAGUAAGACACUGCCGGGUA